UGAGAUUUGAUUUACCACAUACUUUUUUUUUAAUAACCCGGUGUAUUCUGACCCCCACCAAAAUGGGUCCAGACUAGCAGAGAGUGUCCAUAACACAGCCAGAUUUACGACAGACUUUGCUAGAUCCAUUAAUCAAUUUUCUCAGAUCAACCAAACUGAAAACUUUAGCAAUCGAACCAAGAUCCACAUAGAUAUAGCCUUACGUAAUGAUUAGAGGUGAUGUUACAUAUAAAAGACCAACGUCUCCACCU
rnacentral:lncRNA from 1 species